CUGGCUCAGGAUGAACGCUAGCGACAGGCUUAACACAUGCAAGUCGAGGGGCAGCAUAAAGUAGCAAUACUUGGUGGCGACCGGCGCACGGGUGAGUAACGCGUAUGCAACCUACCUAUCAGAGGGGAAUAACCCGGCGAAAGUCGGACUAAUACCGCAUAAAACAGGGGCACCGCAUGGUGAUAUUUGUUAAAGAAAUUCGCUGAUAGAUGGGCAUGCGUUCCAUUAGGUAGUUGGUGAGGUAACGGCUCACCAAGCCGACGAUGGAUAGGGGAACUGAGAGGUUGGUCCCCCACACUGGUACUGAGACACGGACCAGACUCCUACGGGAGGCAGCAGUGAGGAAUAUUGGUCAAUGGGCGGGAGCCUGAACCAGCCAAGUCGCGUGAAAGGAAGAAGGAUCUAUGGUUCGUAAACUUCUUUUGCAGGGGAAUAAAGUGCAGGACGUGUCCUGUUUUGUAUGUACCCUGAGAAUAAGGAUCGGCUAACUCCGUGCCAGCCGCUGC
rnacentral:rRNA from 1 species